rnacentral:rRNA from 1 species
CACGUAGGGUGCGAGCGUUGUUCGGAAUCACUGGGCGUAAAGGGCGCGUAGGCGGCCCUCUUAGUCGCGUGUGAAAGCCCCGGGCUCAACCUGGGAACGGCGCGCGAAACGGGAGGGCUGGAGUUCGGGAGAGGGAUGCAGAAUUCCAGGUGUAGCGGUGAAAUGCGUAGAUAUCUGGAGGAAUACCGGUGGCGAAGGCGGCUCUCUGGGACGGUACUGACGCUGAGACGCGAAAGCGUGGGGAGCGAACAGG